rnacentral:sRNA from 1 species
AUGCGUAAGGGAUAAAAGCGGUUAUCCUUUUUUUGCUUUGGAAAAAGCUUGGGCAAAAAAGAUAUGAGCGUAUAGCCCGACCCGCU